rnacentral:siRNA from 1 species
UGAUAUACUCGAUCGCAGGGU